rnacentral:RNase_P_RNA from 1 species
UUGGCAGACAAGGCAAUCGCGCAGGGACCAAACCCUUCGAGGAAAGUCCGGACUCCUAUUAAGCAUGAUGCCUGCGGAGAGUCGACUGGAUCAAACUAUCAACUCAACUCAGGGCAAUUUUAAAUUUAAAAUUGACGGAAUAGUGCCACAGAAAAUGACCGCCAAUCACUUCUCAAAAAGAAAUGACGGGUAAGGGUGAAAAUGUGUGGUAAAAGCACACGGAUAAGUCUAGCAAUGGCCCUAUCGGGCAAACCCCUUCAGGAGCAAGACAAAAUAAGCAAGCGGAGCGCUUAAUCUCUUACUUGCGGGUAUGUCGCACAGAUAAAUGGUUGCCACUGCAAAGAAAUUUGCAGCACAGAAUCCGGCUUAUCGUCUGCCAAUCUU